rnacentral:tRNA from 1 species
CGGGCAGUGGCGCAGCUUGGUAGCGCACCAGUCUGGGGGACUGGGGGCCGCAGGUUCAAAUCCUGUCUGCCCGACCA